GACGAACGCUGGCGGCGUGCUUAACACAUGCAAGUCGAACGGAAAGGCCUGCUUUCCCUUGUGGAUUGCGGGUACUCGAGUGGCGAACGGGUGAGUAACACGUGAGUGAUCUGCCCCCAACUUGGGUAUAAGCCUGGGAAACUGGGUCUAAUUCCCGAUAGGACUGCAGGGUGGUGCCUGUGGUGGAAAACGAUUUUCUAGUGGUUGGGGAUGAGCUCGCGGCCUAUCAGCUUGUUGGUGGGGUAAUGACCUACCAAGGCGGCGACGGGUAGCCGGCCUGGGAGGGUGGACGGCCACAUUGGGACUGAGAUACGGCCCAGACUCCUACGGGAGGCAGCAGUGGGGAAUAUUGCACAAUGGGCGGAAGCCUGAUGCAGCGACGCCGCGUGGGGGAUGACGGCCUUCGGGUUGUAAACUCCUUUCGACCGCGAGGAAGCCACCUGGUUGGAAGGGUGGUGACGGUAGUGGUAGAAGAAGCACCGGCUAACUACGUG
rnacentral:rRNA from 1 species